GGGGGAGCGACUGGGGGGUUGGUGUUUCAUGGGCACAUGGUUUCCGUUUGGGAAGAUGAAAGAGUUCUGGAGAUGGAUGGUGGUGAUGGCUGCCCACAGUGUGAGUGUACCUAAUGUCACUGGGUUGUACCUUAAAAAUGGUUAAAGUGGUAAAUUUUAUGUUAUGUAUAUUUUAUCACAGUAAAAAAUGCAAAAACAGGAGUGUCACUUUCUCAGAGACGUCGUCCAUGGCGACCCCGUCUACAUUCUGCCCUUCUCUCUCCAGCUCAUCAUCGCUGCCCAGGGAGCACACUCUACGCCAGGCCCUGUGUCAGGGUCAAGCCUGCCAUCUCUCCUGCCUUCUUGCUCAGACCAUAGAGAGAAGGGGCCCCUGGAAGGUCACAGGACAGCGAGGCCGCCACACUGCCAGGGGAGAGGGGGCACAACAGGGAACCUGCACAGCUGAGUGCUGGGGUGCGGCUCUCCGGGCCGGCAGGAAGGGACCAGGCAGGGCCCUGUCCCAGCAUUUGGGGCUUUGGGGCAGAACUGAGACCCAGGCGAACAAGCAGUUUGUGGUUCUGCAGCUGAGAAACAAAGCCGACGCCACGCAGAUUUGUAGCUGUCGGUGCUAUUUGUAGUUGACGAAACAAGAAAUAAAAGCAUAAAGAUACCCCUCA
rnacentral:lncRNA from 1 species